UGGAUUGCUGAUGACUACUGGUGGCGUAUAGGUCAUAGACAGUGGUAUGUGUUUGGAGCUCUGAGGUCCGU